rnacentral:lncRNA from 1 species
GGGGGUGGGGUGGAAUAAAAUAAAAUAAAAUAAAUUUAUUUAAAAACUAAAAACCAUUUAAAAAUAAAACAUAAAGGCCCCUAUGCAACCCUGGAACCCUGGCUGAGAUGGGGUGUAGAGGGGAGGAGAGGAGGUGCCCCGGACUCGGUGUCAUUCUGAAACCAGGCCUUCUAGCGCCCACAGGAUCCCUAGGAGGGCCUCGGGCCUGACCUGUCUCCUCCACGCUGUUACCUGAGAUUGUCCCCACCCUCUGUGCACUGGAAGUCCAGGCCUGCAGGCUGGGACCUCAGAAAGGCGUGCAGGUGGGACAGCUCCAGGGCUCUCCAGAUGUCCUCCUCUGAGUACUGGCCGAAGGGGUCCAGGUUCAUGCGCAGGGUCCCUGAGAACAGGACGGGGUCCUGGACAUACAACAGGGCCUGAGAGAGGCAGCUCAGGGCCCACAAGGAACCCUGGGCCCCAGGCGCAAGGAAAACAAUGAGAUGAGGGUGGCAACAUCCUCACUGGGUCCCCAGCCCUCCAGGAGGAAGACCAGGUUGGAGGAGAGAGCAAAUUGCCUGCAGGGGAGUGAUAAACCCCAGCUUUGGCAAUCACUAAGUCCUUCACUAAAGCAGGAGCCAGAGCUACAAAUCUCACUCCGGAAGUGUCCAGUCAGCAGAAAAAAUACCCCGGGGGAGCCAGAAAAGAUGCCGUGCAAUCCUGAGCCUCAAAAGCAAGAGACCAGGAGAGAAGGUCUCAGGGACGGGUGGGGGCUGGGGAGGCCCUUGCUCCUUCCCCUUCGCUGGCCCAGCACUGGGUCGCUCCUGGGUGGCCCUGCUCUCUGCUAUGGGGUUCUGUCCCCCACACCCCUCCCAAGGCCAGGCACUUGGCUUGGUCCUCAAGCUACAGAACAGGGGUGCCUCCUCCCCCAUGGACACCACACCUGGCUGGGCCGGGGCAGGCUUAUACCUGUGGGAUGAUGGUCAGCUGAGAACGCAGGUCCUGGAGGCCAAUGUCUGCCACGUUGAGACCGUCGAUGAAGAUGUCACCCUCUGCUGCCUCCAGGAUCCGGAACAGGCAGAGGGUCAUGGAUGAUUUGCCAGCCCCAGUGCGGCCCACGAUGCCCACCUGUGGGGGUGGGGGAGGGACUGUCAGGGGAAGCUGGAAGGGCACAGCGGUCUCCCCUAAGGCCACAGUGGCCUCCCCAAGCAUGGGUACCUUCUCACCGCCAUGCACACAAAGACUCAGGUUCUUCAGCACCAGCUCCAGGCCUGGCCGGUACCGCACGGAAUAGUUCCGGAAUUCCACCUCCCCUCGCUGGGGCCAGCCUUCAGGAGGGCGGCUGCCCUCCACCACCCAGGGGGCCUGGCAGAGGGGGAGCGGGUCUCAGCAGGGUGGCACCUUCCCCACCUCUCUGUCCAGGCCCCCUCAGUCCCCAUCACUGUGGUGGCCAGAGUCCUUUCUCUUCCUUGCAGCGCUGAGGAUUAAAGCCAGGGCCUUGCACAUGCUAGGCAAGUGCUCCACCACUGAGCUGCAUCCCCAGACUUAAGGCUCUGACUUUUUCUCUGUGCUAUGGAUUGAUCCCAGGACCUUUGCCCUGAGCUAUAUCCCUAGUCCCUUUUCUUUUUUACUUUUUUGAGACAGGGUCUUCUGGCUAAGUGGCUACACUGCCUAGGUUGGGCUUGAACUUGUGUCCUUCUGCCUCAGCCUCCCAGAAUGCUGGUUAUAAAUGCUUUUGCCACCAUUUCUUUGACUUUAUUUCUGCUGAGCUGUUCCAAAACUUCCCAUCCUGUUCCCUCCCACUCCUUCCUCAUGCCCCACACUCCUGAGGAGGCUGCCCUGCCUUCCCUAGCACCUCCUUCCCUCACUUUGUCCAUCUAGUUGCUAAGUAGGACUUGCCGCCAGGCAGUGUCCCCAAGGAGACAAUGUUUUUGCCCCAGGAGGUUACAUUCUAGCCCAGGUGCUAGAACACACAAGCACAAUGCUGUGCUGGGCUGCCCCAGGCUGGUCAGGAGCUUCCUGGAGGAGGUGCUAUUUAGUAAGGGCUGCAGGGAGGGACAAGGCUGGGGUACCAGGUACCUGAACACAAGGACAAGUGCAAAGGCCCCCAGGUGUGUUCUUUUUUUUUGGGUUUUUUGAGGCAGGGUCUCCCUUUGUAGUUCAGGCUGUUCCUGAACUCAUGAUCCUCCUGCCUCAGCCUCCUGAGUGCUGGAAUUACAGGCGUACACCACCAGACCCAGUCUCCAGGUGUGUGUGUUCUGAAGUACAGAGACUAGGGUAGGAAGCAGCAGGCUGAGACAGGGUGGGGGGUGGCGCACAGUGAAGGGACUCACAGGCCACUUCCAGGACUAUGGCUUUGCCCUGAGCAAGAUCAUCAGGGCCACACACAGAGGCACAACAAGAUCUGGUGUGUUUUGAAAGGAGGAAUAAUAGGACCAGAAAGCAGGCUGCAGGUAGCGGGUGAGAUCCAGGGUAAUGAGACAGUCGGGAGAGCAUGUGUAGAAGAUGAUUUAAAACAAGUUCGCGACUGGAGGAGAGUAGAGAACUGGGGCAGCAGGAUGCAGGGGGCAGGGAGGGCUUGUGUGUCUAGAAUGGAACAUGGAGGAACAUUUUUGCACAUGGAUGGGAAUCAUCCAACAGAGGGAGCAAGACUGACAGAAUCAGGCAUGGGUGAGGAACUGAGUCCUGGAGCUGCAGCCGCAGGAAGAGGCAGAGGGCUGGAGUAAUGUGUGUUCAGAGAGAAGGGAAGAUGGGGUGCAGGGAGAGGAGCAGGGCAAGGGCUCUGGGGGCAGGAAGGCUGAGGGAGCACAUGUCUUCUAACCCAGUUUCUCCUGGGUGGGAGUGUCAGGCAGGGUCACCAGCUGAGCACAGGGAGAUGUGGCUGAGGACAGAGGAUGUUGCAAAGAGGUUGCUCUGAAAUUGGGAACAUGAGCUUCCUAGGGAAGCAAACAGGAACCCGGCAGUGGUUGCACACAUGAAGUACGGUCACUGAUUCCCUCCAGGCAGCUGUUCUGUGCAAGGAUGAAGAAGGUGGACAGGAGGGAUGUAGGGGAGAGGGUGGGAGAAAGGAGGGGGAAGGAAGUUGUGAGCAUUCAUGUUGGUAGGGCAGAGAAUCUAGGCCAGCUGGGAGGGAGUUGAAGCCAGGGGAGACAAUGGAGAGACAAAGGUGCAUCACAGUCAUCCCAGCAAGGAUUGAGUCCUGUGGCAACACAGGACUUGGAGCACAUGAGCCAGGAGAGAUGGGAGGUGGUCUAUGAAAUUGACACUGAGAGCUUAGAGAUGGUGUAGCUGCAGGGCAUGGCAAGGUUGGGGGUGUGACCAUGGCAGGGGCAGUGGAGAAAGUCUGGACUCCCCAGGUGAGGGCUCAUAACAAAGGGCAUGAGGCCCCACCUGGACUCCUUGGACCAGCCUGGUCCCUUUUGCGGCAAUGCUCACCUUCCCCUGCUCUGUGCCACCAUCUUUCCUAGUUGGUCAAAACCCAACCAUCUUUCUAAUCUCAGCUUGCUCCCUGCUCAUCCCAGCUGCACGAUCUCCCCUAUCUGUCCUCUUGCGGUGCACCACCCCACAGCUCCUGUCCACUGCAGAGCCUGCCAAAGGUCUCACCUUCCGUCAGAAUGAAUCUGCUGAGGGCACUGUCUUGCUAAGUCUGAGCCCUUCUACACCUCCCAUCAUUAACCUCUGGCUGACGCUCUGAGGGUUGAAUCGUAGGAUGAAUGGAUGGAUAGAUGGAUGGUUGGAUGGGUGGAUGGUUGGUUGGAUGGAUGGAUGGAUGGAUGGUUGGUUGGAUGGAUGAGUGGAUGGAUGGAUGGAUGGAUGGAUGGAUACAUGCAUGGAUGGUUGGUUGGAUGGAUGGAUGGAUGGAUGGAUGGAUGGAUAGAUGGAUGGUGUGCUAACUAAACAGUUGGCCUCAAUGUGAGGGCUGGUGAGUUACCAAGCAUAUGUCCUCAGCCAUUCCAGAUUACCCCUGACCUGUACUCAUCCCGGGACUUACCUCAGUCUCUGUCUUCGAAUACACCUUGACUCUCUCCACAGCUACAAUAUUAGACUCCAAGUCUGACAUCACUCGUAUCAGCCAGUUCAGAGACAUUGUCACCUGGCCAAAGGGACUGGGUUAUGGCAGGGCUCCACUCAGCAACAGUUUCGAGAAGAGUUCCAUCCUUGAUCAGGCUCCCACCAAUGAGAUGUUAUCCUAUCUGUGACCCACAAGUGUGCGGACUGAGGCUGUCAUCACAACUGUGCCUCAGGCAGUGACAAAGCAGACUUGACCAAGGACUGCCUCACUCUUCCUUUCUCAAAUUUGAAUAUAUUUCAGUCUCCCCAGAGAUUCUUGUUAAGAUGCAGCUUUUGAUCCAGUGGGUCUGAGGUGGGACCGGAAAGUCUUCAUUCCUAACAAUCUCCCAGAAGACAGCAAUAUGGCCAGCCCAGGGACCACACUUUGGGUGCCAGAGAGUCUUGGGAGAAAUGCAGAAUCCUGAGCUGCAUCCUGGACCCAGUAAAUCAGAAUGUAUGUUUUAACAAGCUCUCCAGGUGGCCCGCACACAUUUGUGUUUGAGACGCCAGGCCUGCCUGGUUUGCCUUUUGUUCAGCAAAGCAUUCAAGAUUUGAGCCACCUGAGGCAUUAACAAUUCACUCUGCUUUACAAGAAUUCUA